AGCGAACGCUGGCGGCAGGCCUAACACAUGCAAGUCGAACGAAGUCUUCGGACUUAGUGGCGGACGGGUGAGUAACACGUGGGAACGUGCCUUUAGGUUCGGAAUAACUCAGGGAAACUUGUGCUAAUACAGAAUGUGCCCUUCGGGGGAAAGAUUUAUCGCCUUUAGAGCGGCCGGCGUCUGAUUAGCUAGUUGGUGAGGUAAAGGCUCACCAAGGCGACGAUCAGUAGAUGGUCUGAGAGGAUGAUCAGCCACAUUGGGACUGAGACACGGCCCAAACUCCUACGGGAGGCAGCAGUGGGGAAUCUUGCGCAAUGGGCGAAAGCCUGACGCAGCCAUGCCGCGUGAAUGAUGAAGGUCUUAGGAUUGUAAAAUUCUUUCACCGGGGACGAUAAUGACGGUACCCGGAGAAGAAGCCCCGGCUAACUUCGUGCCAGCAGCCGCGGUAAGAC
rnacentral:rRNA from 1 species